rnacentral:rRNA from 1 species
GACGAACGCUGGCGGCGUGCUUAACACAUGCAAGUCGAACGGUAAGGCCCUUCGGGGUACACGAGUGGCGAACGGGUGAGUAACACGUGGGUGAUCUGCCCUGCACUUUGGGAUAAGCCUGGGAAACUGGGUCUAAUACCGGAUAGGACCAUGCGCUUCUCGGUGUGUGGUGGAAAGCUUUUGCGGUGUGGGAUGGGCCCGCGGCCGAUCAGCUUGUUGGUGGGGUAAUGGCCUACCAAGGCGACGACGGGUAGCCGGCCUGAGAGGGUGACCAGCCACAAGGGUGCUGUGAUACGACCCAGACUCCGACGGGAGGAAGCAGUGGGGAAUAUUGCCCAAUGGGCGCAAGCCUGAUGCAGCGCCGCCGCGUGAGGGAUGACGGCCUUCGGGUUGUAAACCUCUUUCAGUAGGGACGAAGCGCAAGUGACGGUACCUACAGAAGAAGGACCGGCCAACUACGUGCCAGCCGCAGCCGCCG